rnacentral:sRNA from 1 species
GUGGACUGAGAAGUUUCCAUCCCUAAAUAAGCUGGUGGACUACUACAGGACAAAUUCCAUCUCCAGACAGAAGCAGAUCUUCCUUAGAGACAGAACCCGAGAAGACCAGGGUCACCGGGGCAACAGCCUGGACCGGAGGUCCCAGGGAGGCCCACACCUCAGUGGGGCUGUGGGAGAAGAAAUCCGGCCUUCGAUGAACCGGAAGCUGUCGGAUCACCCCCCCACCCUUCCCCUGCAGCAGCACCAGCACCAGCCACAGCCUCCGCAAUAUGCCCCAGCGCCCCAGCAGCUGCAGCAGCCCCCACAGCAGCGAUAUCUGCAGCACCACCAUUUCCACCAGGUAUCUGGAAAGAAGGCAGUGGGCACAGUACGGUGGAAAGGAGAACCUGCCUCCCCUGCAGGCCUGGCCCAGCCUCUUGAGUUCUCAGAGAGUUCAUGAUGAAGACCCUGGACCCCACCAAAUGGCAGAAAUAGGGAAACUGUUCUUGGCAAAGACAUCUCUGUGAAUUAAAUGGCUCCCACCUGAACACACACACACACACACACACACUCUCACACACACACACUUACACUCACUCACACACACACUUCCCCUGAGGACUCAGUAAACAAUUGCUUCAUUUUCCUAUCAGCACAAUUCCAAAUCUAUUCAUGCCCCUUAGCCCAUCUGGCUGUCAGAUCCACAAGAGAAAAAGGCUUAAUACCCACAACAGAGCCUUGUUUAUUACUUAUUUAUCUCCCUCCACCCUUGUUCCCGAUG